UUUUUGGUUUGUUUGUAGGGCGCUGGCACCCACAUUCAGUGACCCAGCUGUAAUGUCAGUGGUGGCAUUGAUUUGAUUUUUGGUUUGCUUGUAGGGCGCUACGGUUGAGUUGGGUAACUCCGCUCUUCUUCCUCGCUAACUGCACCGGAGGAAUUUCUCAAGUCUCCUCGCGCAACUGGGGAGCACUCCAAUAUGCAAUGGAGAGAGAAAGAUUUUCAUAGAGCGGCUUGCUGUGAGAGGUGGACUGAGAUUUGACGGCACUAACGGCGAGUAUCAAGACCUUACGGCCACGGAGCUGCGGGACUCUGCGCUGGUCGUCUAUCCGUGUGGAGGCAAAGCAAACGCGGGCAACAUUCUGCUGAAGCGAGCGCGGAGCUGAAGCUGGAUUGGUGACUGACGUACUUGUUUACUUCACAACACCGGCGCAUAAUGAUGUACAUGUACAUGUACAUGUACAAGACUUCCUAAACAACGAGAUGAGGAUGGUCAUUGUAAUUUUCUGAGCUGCGAACGGGCAGAAAGCUACAGAAGGAGAUGAGUAUGGUCAUUGUCAUUUUCUGAGCUGCGACAGGCAGAAAGCUACACAACAAGAUAAGUACGGUCAAUGUCAUUUUCUGAGCUGCGAACGGGCAGAAAGCUAUACAACGAGAUGAUGUUGGUGGUUGUCAGUUUCUGAGCUUUUAACGGGCAGAAAGCUAUACAACUAGACGAGGAUGGUAAUUGUCAGUUUCUGAUCUGCCAACCGGCAGAAAGCUAUACACCGAGAUGAGGAUGGUCAUUGUCAGUUUCUGAGCUCGGAACGGGCAGAAAGAUACGAUAUACAAGGAGAUGAGGAUGGUCGUGUCGUUUGCUGAGCUUAGAACUUUCAGACACGUAAGAAAAUGUCAAGUUUUGACCUUCUGUGCCCACCUUUCAAUUUCAAUGUACCUGUCUAUAACAUGACCCAGCUGUAAUGUGAGUGGUCGCAAUUUUCAUUUUAGGUUUGCUUGUAGGCCGCCGGCACCCACAUUCAGUGACCCAAACAUUUUGGCACUGCGGUGAAUAGUUUAGUCGCAAAGUGAAGGAUCAUGGGUAAAAGCACCAAACUUGGAGAUAUGGUUGAUAAAUAUGGUGUGUCUUUACCACAUUUUUUAUCAACCAUAAGUACAGCUGCAUUGGUGUCUUCAACUUCAGUCUCCCGAGUCAAGCUCCGUAUGAAGACAUCCAAGAAGAAGAUUGCCUGAUGAGUCCAGCGGGGACGAAACGUACGUCGCAAUCGAGCUAUGUCGUUGCUGCGUCAUCUUCUAUGUGCCAUGCGCUACUUGAUGUACCAGCCUGCUAUGUCGGACACCGCCAACCAUGCAUCGACUAGGCGCCAGGCGCGAACUAAUGGUGGUGGUGGUGGUGAGAAGGAGAGCUCUGUGCCAGAACUUUGCAGCUGAGAGAGCGUGUGUGGGCAGGCGUGUGUUUACCGCCAUAUUGCCAGGUGUGUCUUUACCACCAUAUUUAUCAACCAUAAGUACAGCUGCAGUGGUGUCUUCAACUUCAAACUUGGAGAUAGGUUGUUUUUGAGCUUUCAGCAGCCCUAGGCUAGUUCUUUAGAGAAAUGUGUCUCUUUUUCUUGCGCACUUCCCCAUGUACAUAUAUACAACGAGAUGAGGAUGGUGAUUGUCAGUUUCUGAGCUUCGAACGGGCAGAAAGCCCUUGCUCAGCUAUUCAGCAAGAUCAGGAUGGUCACCGUAAGUAUCAGAGCUACAUAACAGCAGAAAGGUGGAGCAGCCAUUAGUGUGGCUUGCAACAGGAACUAGAUUACAAAGGAACAGGAAGCAAGGAAAUGAAGGAAGCAAAAUGAAUCAAGAUGGAAUGAAGAUGAAGCCCGCAAGAAAAAACAGAAGUCAACAAAGAUAGAAGUCAGCAGAGAGAAUUCUAGAAAGCCAUCCCAAACCCCGACCACCAUUCCCUCCCUCAACGAUUACUUUUAUAGCCUAUACAAUGGUAUUCCAGAAUUGGAAUUGGAAUUGCAAUUUUCGUGUUCCGCUCGUCAGAAAAUUGCUAUACUGGAAUCCAGUGUUGUGUGGUGAUUAGUGAUGUCUGCAUCCUGUACCAUCCUUAACGGGGAAUUCCCUGGAAUAUUUCGGUGUCGGCCUUUUCUCUGUGUCUUUGUCUUCAGGUGGAGCAGCCAUUAGUGGCUUGCAACAGGAACUAGAUUACAAAGGAACAGGAAGCAAGGAAAUGAAGGAAGCAAAAUGGAUCAAGAUGGAAUGAAGAUGUAGCCCGCAAGAAAAAACAGAAGUCAACAAAGAUAGAAGUCAGCAGAGAGA